GAUGAACGCUGGCGGCGUGCUUAACACAUGCAAGUCGAACGGAAAGGCCCUGAUAGUUUGCGGUGCUCGAGUGGCCAUCGGGUGAGUAUGACGUGAGUAACCGGCCCUUGACUUUGGGAUAACUUCAGGUAACUGGGGCUAAUACCGGAUAGGAGCUCCUGCUGCAUGGUGGGGGUUGGAAAGUUUAGGCGGUUGGGGAUGGACUCGCGGCUUAUGAGCUUGUUGGUUGGGUAGUGGCUUACCAAGGCAUUGACGGGUAGCCGGCCCGAGAGGGGGACCGGCCACAUUAGGACUGAGAUACGGCCCAGACUCGUACGGGAGGCAACGGUGGGGAAUAUUAUACAGUGGGAGGAAGCCUGAUGCAGCGACGCCGCGGGCGGGAUGACGGCCUGCGGGUUGUAAACCGCAGUCGCCUGAGACGAAGCGUGAGUGACGGUACUGGGUAAAGAAGCACCGGCUAACUACGUG
rnacentral:rRNA from 1 species